rnacentral:rRNA from 1 species
UACGAAGGGGGCUAGCGUUGUUCGGAAUUACUGGGCGUAAAGCGCACGUAGGCGGACAUUUAAGUCAGGGGUGAAAUCCCGGGGCUCAACCCCGGAACUGCCUUUGAUACUGGGUGUCUAGAGUCCGGAAGAGGUGAGUGGAAUUCCGAGUGUAGAGGUGAAAUUCGUAGAUAUUGGGAAGAACACCGGUGGCGAAGGCGGCUCACUGGCUCGUUUCUGACGCUCAGGCGCGAUAGCGUGGGGAUCAAACAGG